rnacentral:lncRNA from 1 species
GUGUCUGCCUGGAAGGGAACAUCUGUGACACCUUCUUUUCCAAAUGUUCUUAAAGUUUAAGCAGAUUAUUGUAAAGGAAAUAUGAAAAAGUUAGUACUUAAAAAAAACCUCCUUGUAUCAAAAUGUCCCAUUCCCAGCCUCUAUUCAAUUUCAAUCCUUUAAAUGUUUGUUUUCAUAUUUACAAUCAUGGUGCUAUGUAAUAUUCUUACACUACAGUUUCAAGAUUUGUCAAUUUUGUGCCUUAUGGUUAUUGAGGAUUUGGUCUUGAAACUGAGAUUGCAAAUUACUGUAGGGGCUUGAACUUUGCUAAAGAAUAGGCAUAGUUAAUCAAUGACCUGCCAUCACUUAGUGUGUUUUCAUGUAAGUUGUUCACUGCACCAGAGUCAUGUAACCAGGGAUCACAAGAUGUAUAACUUCCCAAACUACUCUUGUAGAUAACAUUACUAUUGUAAAACCUAAACAAUGGUCUUUGAAAUAUUUUUCAGAUUUAGCAUUUUGGCAGACCAAGAGAUGCCACCUGGUCCUGAGAUACCCUCUCCUGGGAACUAACUCACCUGCAGAAAGACAGUUUUAGACACCCCUGAGAUUUCAUCCAUAGUCAAUCAAUUGUUGCAGUUCCCCAGCCUUCUGCCCACACAAGUACCAUGAAAAACCAUAGUUUCCAACUUUUUAGGGAGACAGAUUUGAGAAACCUCUCCUAUUCUCCUCAAUUAGCUGUCCCUGCAAUUAUUAACCUCCCUCUUUGCUGCAACAUCUGCUGUUCUCAGUGCAUUGGGUUUUUGGGGGGCAGCAGGAAAGAAGAACCCCUCAGACUGUGACACUCUCCUGCCUGCCUUUCCAUCCAAUCACAAAUGUCCUUUCCCUCCUACCACAUUCUUGUAAACAUUUAGGUCGCAAUAUUUGGUUUAAGAAAUCAUCAGUGUUUCCAUUAUAAUGACCGUUGCAAUGAUA